UUUCCGUAGGUGAACCUGCGGAAGGAUCAUUAUCGUACAAAAUGUUAGGGUCAUGCGAGGGCUUUCGCUUACCCAAAAGUCGUGCACGCCCGAGUGUGUCCUCUUGCAUAAUAAUCCAUCUCACCCUUUGUGCAUCACCGCGUGGGCAACCUUCGGGAUCAUCUCGGAGGGGGGCUCGCGUUUUCACACAAACCCCCCUUUUAAACGUGUAGAAUGACCACUUUUAUGCAAUCAAUACAACUUUCAACAACGGAUCUCUUGGCUCUC
rnacentral:misc_RNA from 1 species